rnacentral:rRNA from 1 species
GCUUUUUCUCCGGCCGAAGAGCAGUGAUCCGAAGCAGUUCCGGUACUGUGGAGGUACCGGUAACUAGAGGCUGCCCGCAGGGAUCAAUCAGCGGCCCAUUUAUCUGGGACAUACUGAUGGAUGUACUGCUUCAGCGUCUCCAGCCGUAUUGCCAGCUGAGUGCAUACGCGGAUGACUUGCUGCUUCUCGUCGAGGGAAAUUCCCGAGCUGUGCUAGAGGAAAAAGGAGCGCAACUAAUGUCCAUCGUAGAAACGUGGGGAGCGGAAGUUGGCGUUGCCGUCUCGACCAGCAAGACGGUAAUCAUGCUGCUGAAAGGUGCCUUGAGACGUGCGCCUACGGUGAGGUUUGCUGGAGCGAACCUUCCGUAUGUGCGUAGCUGUCGGUACCUUGGCAUCACGGUCAGUGAAGGAAUGAAAUUCCUCACGCACAUAGCUUCGCUUCGCCAGCGGAUGACAGGAGUCGUUGGAGCAUUGGCGCGUGUGCUUCGAGCCGACUGGGGCUUCAGUCCUCGAGCCAGGCGGACCAUAUAUGACGGACUCAUGGCACCUUGUGUGCUGUUUGGUGCCCCGGUAUGGUAUGACACCGCGGAACAAGUAGCUGCCCAGAGGCGACUAGCCUCCUGCCAGAGGCUAAUCCUGCUUGGAUGCCUUUCGGUAUGCCGAACAGUGUCCACAGUGGCACUGCAGGUACUUGGUGGAGCUCCCCCGCUUGAUCUGGCUGCUAAGUUAUUAGCGAUUAAAUACAAGCUAAAACGUGGAUUCCCGCUGGAGGAGAACGACUGGCUUUACGGCGAGGACAUUGCGUGUCUUAGCUGGGAGCAGAGGAAGACUCGCCUAGAGGAGUGUUUAAUCCAGAGUUGGCAGAACAGAUGGGACGACGACAGCGAACCAGGACGGGUGACGCAUAGGUUUAUCCCAUACGUCACUCUUGCCUAUCGGGAUCCAAGUUUUGGAUUCUCGAUGAGGACGUCUUUCCUGCUUACAGGGCACGGGUCGUUCAAUGCAUUUUUGCACGGGAGAGCCCUCAGCGAUACCACUGCUUGCGCAUGUGGAGAUCCAUAUGAGGACUGGAUGCAUAUCUUGUGCGCUUGCCCCCUAUAUGCAGAUCUGCGGGACCUAGAUGGACUUGGAGUGCAGCGCCUUGGCGAAAACUGGAUCUUCGAGGGAAUCCUGGAUGAUCAAGAGAAGACUCAACGGCUGGCAAUGUUUGCGGAAGAAGUGUUCCUGAGGAGGAGGGGCGUUUAGCUCAACAUCUCUGCCGUGUGGUUAGCGGGCGAGAAUACUACCACAGUCCGCUGUUGCUUGUCGUAAGAGACGACUAAUACAGCGAUAGGAUUCCUCUAACCCUGCUUGUCGGAGCAAAAGGGGGAGGCCCACCGAGCCUCUUUUCGGUACCACGGGUUGAGCAGCUAUCCAAGACUGCUCAUUGAGGUAGGCCCCCUGGUGGGAGUAUCGUGGUGGCUGUGGUUGGUACCCAUAUCGCGGGUAGAGCCUUCAUGCUCGACGUUUGAGUUACGGUGCUAGUUGCGCAAAACUCGGGUGCUGUGACCCAGAGAUCAGUAGAGAUUUUAGGUAGAUCUCGCUCCUCAGCAAGGGGGAGUGCUUGCCCGGCAAGCAAGUACUCGAAUUGCUACCGGGGUGGUCGCUAUGUACAUAGCUAUAGCUUCUAGUCCGGGACGCUUGUCUGGCGUAUCCAGACACAUGCACCAUAUGCUCACUUGUGGGCGUAUAGGGUGCCGUGGUUGUAAUCCCUUCAGUGUGGAACACGCCACGUAAAAUAAGUUCGGAGGGAUCCGAAAAGCAUACAUACAUUGUCCCUAUCUACUAUCUAGCGAAACCACAGCCAAGGGAACGGGCUUGGAAUAAUUAGCGGGGAAAGAAGACCCUUUUGAGCUUGACUCUAAUCUGGCAGUGUAAGGAGACAUAAGAGGUGUAGAAUAAGUGGGAGAUAUUAGACCUCGGUUUGGUAUCGUCAAUGAAAUACCACUACUCUUAUUGUUUCCUUACUUACUUGAUUAAAUGGAACGUGUAUCAUUUCCUAGCCAUUAUACGGAUAUAUUUAUUAUAUCUUAUGGUAUUGGGUUUUGAUGCAAGCUUCUUGAUCAAAGUAUCACGAGUUUGUUAUAUAAUCGCAAACAAAUUCUUUAAUAAAACGAUGCAUUUAUGUAUUUUUGAUUUGAAAAUUUGGUAUAACUCCAAUUACUCAGGUAUGAUCCAAUUCAAGGACAUUGCCAGGUAGGGAGUUUGACUGGGGCGGUACAUCUCUCAAAUAAUAACGGAGGUGUCCCAAGGCCAGCUCAGUGCGGACAGAAACCACACAUAGAGCAAAAGGGCAAAUGCUGACUUGAUCUCGGUGUUCAGUACACACAGGGACAGCAAAAGCUCGGCCUAUCGAUCCUUUUGGUUUAAAGAGUUUUUAACAAGAGGUGUCAGAAAAGUUGCCAUAGGGAUAACUGGCUUGUGGCGGCCAAGCGUUCAUAGCGACGUCGCUUUUUGAUCCUUCGAUGUCGGCUCUUCCUAUCAUUGUGAAGCAAAAUUCACCAAGCGUUGGAUUGUUCACCCAUGCAAGGGAACGUGAGCUGGGUUUAGACCGUCGUGAGACAGGUUAGUUUUACCCUACUAAUGACAAAACGUUGUUGCGACAGCAUUCCUGCGUAGUACGAGAGGAACCGCAGGUACGGACCAAUGGCACAAUACUUGUUCGAGCGAACAGUGGUAUGACGCUACGUCCGUUGGAUUAUGCCUGAACGCCUCUAAGGUCGUAUCCGUGCUGGACUGCAAUGAUAAAUAAGGGGCAAUUUGCAUUGUAUGGCUUCUAAACCAUUUAAAGUUUAUAAUUUACUUUAUAAACGACAAUGGAUGUGAUGCCAAUGUAAUUUGUAACAUAGUAAAUUGGGAGGAUCUUCGAUCACCUGAUGCCGCGCUAGUUACAUAUAAAAGCAUUAUUU